GUGCCAGCAGCUGCGGUAAUACGGAGGGUGCAAGCGUUAAUCGGAAUUACUGGGCGUAAAGCGCACGCAGGCGGUCUGACAAGUCGGAUGUGAAAUCCCCGAGCUCAACCCGGGAACUGCAUUCGAAACUGUCAGGCUGGAGUCUUGUAGAGGGGGGGUAGAAUUCCAGGUGUAGCGGUGAAAUGCGUAGAGAUCUGGAGGAAUACCGGUGGCGAAGGCGGCCCCCUGGACAAAGACUGACGCUCAGGUGCGAAAGCGUGGGGAGCAAACAGGAUUAGAUACCCUGGUAGUCCACGCUGUAAACGAUGUCGACUUGGAGGUUGUGCCCUUGAGGCGUGGCUUCCGGAGCUAACGCG
rnacentral:rRNA from 1 species